rnacentral:ncRNA from 1 species
UGUUAACUACCAUUGCAUUGUUGUUAUCACCCGUAUAUUACAUAUAUGUUCUUUAAUACUAAAACCAGCCUCUACAAGGCAGUUAGGAGAGUAAGAUCUGGGUGUGACUCCCAUUCUGACACCAAUGAUAGUAUGUUGGGAUGAAAAGUGGUCUCGAAGGCAUGACAUGUCACCUUUUCCUGAAUUGGACAACCGAGACCAAAUUUAACAUAGGUGGAUGGGCCACCUCUACUUAACCUGGAAAAGAAACAGAGGAAGUAAUUUAUAUGUUUACUAAUUAGCCAAAUGCCUCAUCAUCUAAUUAGUGAUGUGCAUGAAUGGAUGAACGAGAUUCCCACUGUCCCUACCUACUAUCCAGCGAAACCACAGCCAAGGGAACGGGCUUGG